rnacentral:rRNA from 1 species
AUACGGAGGGUGCGAGCGUUACUCGGAGUCACUGGGCGUAAAGCGUCCGUAGGCGGUCGGGUAAGUCGGGUGUGAAAGCCCCGGGCUCAACCUGGGAAGUGCACCCGAUACUGCUCGACUCGAGUGCGGGAGAGGAUGGCGGAAUUCCCUGUGUAGCGGUGAAAUGCGUAGAGAUCGGGAGGAACACCAGUGGCGAAGGCGGCCAUCUGGCCCGCAACUGACGCUGAGGGACGAAAGCGUGGGGAGCAAACAGGAUUAGAUACCCCUGUAGUCC